GGUGACGUAGCUCAGUUGGUAGAGCAAAGGACUGAAAAUCCUUGUGUCGGCAGUUCGAUUCUGCCCGUCACCA
rnacentral:tRNA from 1 species